AAUUUCUGCUUGGCUUCUCUCCAAAACUUACGACCUGAAAAAUCGCCGUUGUAACUUCAACUACAGAAAC
rnacentral:tRNA from 1 species